rnacentral:rRNA from 1 species
GAUGAACGCUGGCGGCAGGCCUAACACAUGCAAGUCGAGCGGUAACAGGAGGCAGCUUGCUGAUUCGCGGUGGCGACGGGGGCGGGGGUGAAAUGUGCGGGACGCAGCUUGAUGGCGGGGGGGAACUACUGGAAACGGGACCGAAUACCGCAGAAUGUUGCAAGUCCAAGGAGGGGGACUUGCAGGCCUCUUGCCGUCGGGUGGGACCGGGUGGGGUUCGAUUGGCGGUGGGGUAACGGCUCACCAAGGCGACGAUCCGCAGGUGGUCGGAGAGGAGGAGGAGCCACCCUGGAACUGAGCCACGGUCCAGACUCCUACGGGAGGCAGCAGUGGGGAAUAUUGCACAAUGGGCGCAAGCCUGACGCAGCCCAGCCGCGUGGCUGACGAAGGCCUUCGGGUUGUAAAUGUCUUUUAGCGUGGAGGAAGGAAGUAGUGGUAAACCCUUGGCCUAUUGACGGUACCCGAUGAAUAAGCACCGGCUAACUCCGUG